rnacentral:rRNA from 1 species
CAAACCGGAUUAGAUACCCGGGUAGUCCUAGCUGUAAACAUUGCCCAUUUGAUGUUGCUUUUCCGUUGAGGGAAGGCAGUGUCGGAGCGAAGGUGUUAAAUGGGCCGCUUGGGAAGUAUGGUCGCAAGACUGAAACUUAAAGGAAUUGGCGGGGGAGCACCGCAACGGGAGGAAUGUGCGGUUUAAUUGGAUUCAACGCCGGAAAACUCACCGGGAACGACCUGUGCAUGAGAGUCAACCUGACGAGCUUACUCGAUAGCAGGAGAGGUGGUGCAUGGCCGUCGUCAGCUCGUACCGUAGGGCGUUCACUUAAGUGUGAUAACGAGCGAGACCCACAUCUUUAAUUGCAAAUGUAUAUGAGAAUAUGCAUGCACUUUAGAGAAACCGCCAGCGCUAAGCUGGAGGAAGGAGUGGUCGACGGCAGGUCAGUACGCCCCGAAUUUCCCGGGCUACACGCGCAUUACAAAGAACGGGACAAUACGUUGCAACCUCGAAAGAGGAAGCUAAUCGCGAAACCCGUCCUUAGUUAGGAUUGAGGGCUGUAACUCGCCCUCAUGAUCUGGAUUCCGUAGUAAUCGCGGGUCAACAACACC